rnacentral:rRNA from 1 species
GGGGAAUAUUGCACAAUGGGCGAAAGCCUGAUGCAGCAACGCCGCGUGAGUGAUGAAGGUCUUCGGAUUGUAAAGCUCUGUCUUUUGGGACGAUAAUGACGGUACCAAAGGAGGAAGCCACGGCUAACUACGUGCCAGCAGCCGCGGUAAUACGUAGGUGGCGAGCGUUGUCCGGAUUUACUGGGCGUAAAGGGUGCGUAGGCGGAUGUUUAAGUGGGAUGUGAAAUACCCGGGCUUAACUUGGGUGCUGCAUUUCAAACUGGAUAUCUAGAGUGCAGGAGAGGAGAAUGGAAUUCCUAGUGUAGCGGUGAAAUGCGUAGAGAUUAGGAAGAACACCAGUGGCGAAGGCGAUUCUCUGGACUGUAACUGACGCUGAGGCACGAAAGCGUGGGUAGCAAACAGGAUUAGAUACCCUGGUAGUCCACGCCGUAAACGAUGAGUACUAGGUGUAGGAGGUAUCGACCCCUUCUGUGCCGCAGUAAACACAUUAAGUACUCCGCCUGGGAAGUACGAUCGCAAGAUUAAAACUCUAAAGUGAAUUGAC